rnacentral:rRNA from 1 species
CCUACGGGGGGCUGCAGUGAGGAAUAUUGGUCAAUGGGCGCGAGCCUGAACCAGCCAAGUCGCGUGAGGGAAGACGGUCCUAUGGAUUGUAAACCUCUUUUGUCGGGGAGCAAAAGACGCCACGCGUGGCGUUCCGAGAGUACCCGAAGAACAAGCAUCGGCUAACUCCGUGCCAGCAGCCGCGGUAAUACGGAGGAUGCGAGCGUUAUCCGGAUUUAUUGGGUUUAAAGGGUGCGCAGGCGGAAGAUCAAGUCAGCGGUAAAAUUGAGAGGCUCAACCUCUUCGAGCCGUUGAAACUGGUUUUCUGGAGUGAGUGAGAAGUAUGCGGAAUGCGUGGUGUAGCGGUGAAAUGCAAAGAUAUCACGCAGAACUCCGAUUGCGAAGGCAGCAUACCGGCGCUCAACUGACGCUCAUGCACGAAAGUGUGGGUAUCGAACAGGAUUAGAUACCCCAGUAGUC